rnacentral:lncRNA from 10 species
AAGCAAUUCCUCUUAAGCCCCAGCAGCCAAGAGAUGGGGUGAUGAUUAUGAUGAAGAAGGUGAAGAAGCAGAUGAGGAAGGGGAAGAAGGAGGAGAUGAGGAAAAUGAUCCAGACUAUGACCCAAAGAAGGAUCAAAACCCAACAGAGUGCAAGCAGCAGUGAAGCAGGAUGGUCUACCUUCCGCUUCCCUGGAAAGGAUGAAUUUACAUCAUUUGACAAGCCUAUUUUCAAGUUAUUUGUUGUUUGUUUGCUUGUUUUUGUUUUUGCAGCCUAAAAUAAAAAUUUCAAAUACAAAAAAA